GAGUUUGAUCGUGGCUCAGGAUGAACGCUAGCGGGAGGCCUAACACAUGCAAGCCGAGCGGUAUUGUUUCUUCGGAAAUGAGAGAGCGGCGUACGGGUGCGGAACACGUGUGCAACCUGCCUUUAUCUGGGGGAUAGCCUUUCGAAAGGAAGAUUAAUACUCCAUAACAUAUUUAACGGCAUCGUUUGAUAUUGAAAGCUCCGGCGGAUAGAGAUGGGCACGCGCAAGAUUAGCUAGUUGGUGGAGGU
rnacentral:rRNA from 1 species